rnacentral:rRNA from 1 species
GAUGAACGCUAGCGGGAGGCUUAAUACAUGCAAGUCGAACGGUAAGGCCCCUUCGGGGGUACACGAGUGGCGAACGGGUGAGUAACGCGUACGCAAUCUACCUAUAACUGAGGAAUAGCCCUGGGAAACUGGGAUUAAUACCUUAUAAUAUUCUAAUUAGGCAUCUUUUUGGAAUUAAAACUCCGGUGGUUAUAGAUGAGCGUGCGUCCCAUUAGCUUGUUGGUAAGGUAACGGCUUACCAAGGCAACGAUGGGUAGCUGGCGUGAGAGCGCGAUCAGCCACACGGGCACUGAGACACGGCCCG